UACGAAGGGGGCUAGCGUUGCUCGGAAUCACUGGGCGUAAAGGGUGCGUAGGCGGGUCUUUAAGUCAGGGGUGAAAUCCUGGAGCUCAACUCCAGAACUGCCUUUGAUACUGAGGAUCUUGAGUCCGGGAGAGGUGAGUGGAACUGCGAGUGUAGAGGUGAAAUUCGUAGAUAUUCGCAAGAACACCAGUGGCGAAGGCGGCUCACUGGCCCGGUACUGACGCUGAGGCACGAAAGCGUGGGGAGCAACAGGG
rnacentral:rRNA from 1 species